AUGCGCGUCUUGGCGGCCUCGCUGGACGUGGUGCGGUCCGUCUGGCGCCCCCAACACCUGAGUGGCGCCAUGGCGCGCCAUUCCCGUUGCGCCGCGCUUCGAGUCGAAGCAAGAGUCGUAGGAAAGAGACGACGACUCAUACUACCUGCCAAGUUGAAGUCGGCGAUACCCGCCAUUGCUCUGGUUCUGUCGGCGGUGGCCAUUGUUGCUGUCAUAACUCAGCACCACCGGAACAUCACCUACUUCCUCCGGCCGCUGUGGGACACGCCGCCCAAGCCCUUCACCGUCAUCCCGCACUACUACGCCCCCAACACAUCCAUGGCCGAGCUGUGCGCGCUCCACGGCUGGCGCGCCCGCGCCUCCCCUCGCCGGGUCUUCGACGCCGUCCUCUUCAACAACGAGCUGGACAUCCUGGAGAUCCGCUACCGCGAGCUGCUCCCCUACGUCCACAAGCUGGUCAUCCUGGAGGCCAACGCCACCUUCACCGGCAUCGCCAAGCCGCUCUCCUUCGCCGAGAACCUGGAGCGCUUUGCGUUCGCGAGGUCCAAGAUCGUCUACGACAGGCUCCCCAUCGCCACACCGAGACCGGGGUCUCGUCGCCGGGAAGAGCCAUUCGACGUGGAGGCCCGGCACCGGCGCGCGCUGAACGCGCCGCUGCGGCGGUCGGGCGUCGCGGGCGGGGACGUGGUGAUCAUGGCGGACGCGGACGAGAUCCCGAGCCCGGAGACGGUGCAGCUGCUGCGGUGGUGCGACGGGGUGCCGGCGGUGAUGCACCUGCAGCUGGAGAACUACGUCUACUCCUUCGAGUUCCCCGUGGACCAGGGAAGCUGGAGGGCGACGGCGCACAUCUUCAGCGAGCGCACGGCCCACGCGGACCGGGUGCGGCGGCAGAGCUUCCUCGACCCGGCGAGGAUCCAGCGGGUCGUCUGCGCCGGCGCCGAGCUGUUCGACAUGCUCCCCGAGGAGUACACCUUCAGGGAUCUCUUCAAGAAGAUGGGGCCAAUACCCAGGUCGGCGUCGGCCAUGCACCUGCCUUCCUAUUUGAUCAAGAACGCACGCAGGUUCAGCUUCUUGCUUCCUGGUGGAUGCUUGAGAUCAGGUUAA
rnacentral:rRNA from 1 species